GACGAACGCUGGCGGCGUGCUUAACACAUGCAAGUCGAACGGAAAGGCCCUGCUUUUGUGGGGUGCUCGAGUGGCGAACGGGUGAGUAACACGUUAGUAACCUGCCCUUUACUUUGGGAUAACUUCCGGAAACUGGGGCUAAUACCGGAUAGGAGCUCCUGCUGCAUGGUGGGGUUUGGAAAGUUUCGGCGGUUGGGGAUGGACUCGCGGCUUAUCAGCUUGUUGGUGGGGUAGUGGCUUACCAAGGCUUUGACGGGUAGCCGGCCUGCGAGGGUGACCGGCGACAUUGGGACUGAGAGACGGACCAGACGCGUACGGGAGGCAGCAGGGGGGAAUAUUGCACAAUGGGCGGAAGCCUGAUGCAGCAACGCCGCGUGCGGGAUGACGGCCUUCGGGUGGUAAACAGAUUUCGACUGUGACGAAGCGUGAGUGACGGUAAUGGGUAAAGAAGCACCGGCUAACUACGUG
rnacentral:rRNA from 1 species